UCUAAAAAUAAGUAAAUAAGUAAAUAAAAAUAUAGUACUGCUGAGAGGCAUGUUAUAAAUAAAACUGGAUCAUCCAGACCCUCACACAGGGAAAAACAUUAUACUACCCCCCUAAAACUAGAAUGGAAGUAGAAGAAAAAGAGUCCCUAAUUCCUUCCCAUCCCCUAUUUUGCAGCUAGCCCUUUAGGAAGUAACCACCACACUCUUAUGUAACUUCUUGCCCUCAGUUUCACUACAAGAGUAUAAAGAGUUGAAACUUAGUUACUUUACUAAAAGAUUGCUGCAGGAGCUUUUGGGAUUCACAGUGGUCUCUAAACUCUUCAUUCCACAUAUGGGACCACAGGAACCAGCUGGAUGUUCCUGGCACUUUCAUUAAGAGGCACAAAGCACAUUCCUGUGUUCAGAUUUCACUUAUCAGAGCAGGCAAAACCCACAGGGUUUCUGUUUAGAUUUAGGUGAAAGUAAAUUUAAAUUUAGGUGAAAGGAGAAUUUCCUUUCCUCCUACAUUACAGUCCCUCAACUAGCAGGCCCACAAACCAUACACUCAACCACAAAAAUCAAUGGCAGCAAGAGCCUCAAUAAUUUAGAAAGUAAUACAACAGAGACUUGAUACUGGCAGCACAGAGUUUAUAGCCCAAAUUCUGUUAGUUUAAUAUGUUGUAUCAAUUGGACUCUACAAUAAUGAAGUAACCUUUAAUUAAGUAGUGGGAGCAGGACACAUUUCUUUGCAGUGGAAGGAGCUAAAUAUUUGCAGUCAGAAGGGCUAUUCACAAAAUCUAGCCCAGCAAUGGACUGUCCACCCGGCAAGUCCCUGAGGCUAGGCCGCAGUUUCUUCAUCUGCAAAACGGAGGUGACCUCACAACACUGGUGAAGAUUAAAUCAGAUAAUAUGGGCUUAUGGCAGCCUCGUAGUAUCUGGCCUAUUAACUAUUAACUAUUAUUGAAACUAUAUCUGAAUGAGAAAACCACAAAUCUUCCUUUGGCGAAGCAAUAGCUUCUGUUACAAAUAAAGCUCAAUAUCUAUGGGCUGUAAUGGUGGAAAACACAUUUCAGUUUCUUGGGAGAGGCCCAGAACAACAGAAGAGAAAAUGAGCUGGAAUUCCAGUUCUGCCAGGAUCAUCCUGGGAAAGCUGGUUAACCUGGUGGAGCCCCAACUUCCCCCCUGGUUAGAACUAUCUAGCUAGCAAGACCACUGUCAUGUUGAAUGAGGUAAUCUAUACAAAGUUCCCAAUACACAGCUGGUCCUUAGUAGGCACUCAAUCAAGAGGAGUUAUUGGUAUUUAAUUUUCUCCGAUAGAAAAAAAAAAUUACACAUGAAAAUCACCAGUCCUCAUAUUU